AUACAUCCUACUGUGUGUCCAUCCUGGGAGCCAUCGUCCCCACCCCUGCCUCCUGGGACCAGCUCUUCUCCACCCUCCGUAACCCCUACCACCAGCCCCUGGGACACUGAAAUCAUUUCUAAGGAUGUCGUCAGCAAUCUCCAAUUUGUUACACUGGAGGAUCUUUCAGCUUCUCAGCAUCCUCGCUCCUGACACUUGGUUUCAACUAAGUGGCAUUGACUACAUCCGUGAUGUCAUGCAACCGUCAGCAUCGUUUAGUUCCAGACCUUUCCAUCAUCUGAACAGGAACUCUGAAGCCAUUAAGUAAUAAUUCCCCCACACCGACCCCUCUCUCCUCAGCCCCAGCUUCAGGUACCACUCAGGAAUCUGCCCGCUAAUUACAGCACGAAGGCCCAGUAGAUGGCCAGGUUGUCAGGCUGCAUGGUGGAGCUCUCUGCCAGGUACCUGCUCCAUUAUAAACAAAUCGUAACGACAGAAAGAUGACAGCGUUUUAUAUUCUGGAGAACUGCAAGGAGAUCUGAGGUUGUCAGUUCGCAGAAGCUGAGAGAAGUGGCUGUCAGCACAGGAAAUGAAUGAAGCAUACCACAAGUAGGAUGCUGGAUUGAACUAAGAAGAAGGUCAACGGUCCACUCGCCUCACCCUGAGAUUCUGCAGGAACACAUGCAGGAGGGAGACAAGAAAGAAAACCUCUGCUCAGAAAGUCAACUCCUUGGUGAGAAGCCACCAGAGACAAGGAGAGAUAAAUCCCAUUUCUGCCGAGACUGCCGAGGGUCAUGGACAGGGAGCAGCAAGGACAGAAGGUCUUCUGAUGCAUCAGGUGGUCUCUUAACCACUGGCGCCACCUGGGAAGCCCGUCGAGUCCGGGUACCAAUGCCUAAAGCAGCCUACCGCUUACUCCGCUGCUGGUGACACUCUGCACAGCCAUACAAGCCUUCGUCCUGAUUCCUGCUACAGACUCCUCGAGCCCGGGGCUGGCAGGUUUUGAGGCCCCAGAUGAAGCACGAAGAAAGGAUCCAAACGGGGCAGCCCUUGUAACAAGUCCUCUCUGUCCAGCAUCGGAAACUGUGCAUGAACUGUGCAGCUACAUUUAUAGGAUCAUCCUGGGUCCUCUUUUCUGCUCACAUUGUGCUCUUCUGCACGAAGCAGCCCAGACCUGGCAACAGAGAGAUGCUGUGGACUUGGGUAUCCUUGCUGCUCUCAG